rnacentral:rRNA from 1 species
UAGGGAAUCUUCGGCAAUGGGGGCAACCCUGACCGAGCAACGCCGCGUGAGUGAAGAAGGUUUUCGGAUCGUAAAGCUCUGUUGUAAGAGAAGAACGUGUGUGAGAGUGGAAAGUUCACACAGUGACGGUAACUUACCAGAAAGGGACGGCUAACUACGUGCCAGCAGCCGCGGUAAUACGUAGGUCCCGAGCGUUGUCCGGAUUUAUUGGGCGUAAAGCGAGCGCAGGCGGUUUAAAAAGUCUGAAGUUAAAGGCAGUGGCUUAACCAGUGUUCGCUUUGGAAACUGUUAAACUUGAGUGCAGAAGGGGAGAGUAGAAUUCCAUGUGUAGCGGUGAAAUGCGUAGAUAUAUGGGGGAAAACCGGUGGCGAAAGCGGCUCUCUGGUCUGUAACUGACGCUGAGGCUCGAAAGCGUGGGGAGCAAACAGG